rnacentral:rRNA from 2 species
GGUUAAGCGACUAAGCGUACACGGUGGAUGCCCUGGCAGUCAGAGGCGAUGAAGGACGUGCUAAUCUGCGAAAAGCGUCGGUAAGGUGAUAUGAACCGUUAUAACCGGCGAUGUCCGAAUGGGGAAACCCAGUGCAAUUCGUUGCACUAUCGUUAACUGAAUACAUAGGUUAACGAGGCGAACCGGGGGAACUGAAACA